rnacentral:rRNA from 1 species
GGGUUGUGAGGUUAAGCGACUAAGCGUACACGGUGGAUGCCCUGGCAGUCAGAGGCGAUGAAGGGCGUGCUAAUCUGCGAUAAGCGCCGGUAAGGUGAUAUGAACCGUUAUAACCGGCGAUACCCGAAUGGGGAAACCCAGUGUGAYUCGUCACACUAUCAUUAACUGAAUCCAUAGGUUAAUGAGGCGAACCGGGGGAACUGAAACAUCUAAGUACCCCGAGGAAAAGAAAUCAACCGAGAUUCCCCCAGUAGCGGCGAGCGAACGGGGAGGAGCCCAGAGCCUGAAUCAGCAUGUGUGUUAGUGGAAGCGUCUGGAAAGGCGCGCGAUACAGGGUGACAGCCCCGUACACAAAAGCGCAUGUGCUGUGAGCUCGAUGAGUAGGGCGGGACACGUGGUAUCCUGUCUGAAUAUGGGGGGACCAUCCUCCAAGGCUAAAUACUCCUGACUGACCGAUAGUGAACCAGUACCGUGAGGGAAAGGCGAAAAGAACCCCGGCGAGGGGAGUGAAAAAGAACCUGAAACCGUGUACGUACAAGCAGUGGGAGCCAGGUUGAAGGUUGGGUAACACUAACUGGAGGACCGAACCGACUAAUGUUGAAAAAUUAGCGGAUGACCUGUGGCUGGGGGUGAAAGGCCAAUCAAACCGGGAGAUAGCUGGUUCUCCCCGAAAGCUAUUUAGGUAGCGCCUCGUGAAUUCAUCUCCGGGGGUAGAGCACUGUUUCGGCUAGGGGGCCAUCCCGGCUUACCAACCCGAUGCAAACUGCGAAUACCGGAGAAUGUUAUCACGGGAGACACACGGCGGGUGCUAACGUCCGUCGUGAAGAGGGAAACAACCCAGACCGCCAGCUAAGGUCCCAAAGUCAUGGUUAAGUGGGAAACGAUGUGGGAAGGCCCAGACAGCCAGGAUGUUGGCUUAGAAGCAGCCAUCAUUUAAAGAAAGCGUAAUAGCUCACUGGUCGAGUCGGCCUGCGCGGAAGAUGUAACGGGGCUAAACCAUGCACCGAAGCUGCGGCAGCGAGUAGUCGAUGGGAAACGGGUUAAUAUUCCCGUACUUGGUGUUACUGCGAAGGGGGGACGGAGAAGGCUAUGUUGGCCGGGCGACGGUUGUCCCGGUUUAAGCGUGUAGG